rnacentral:lncRNA from 10 species
CCAGGAGGCUCAUGAAUUCACCGUCAUGCAGAGAUUUUAAAGACAACACCACUUCUGCUGGAUCAAAACCGGGAUUUUAAGUGAGCCCGCAGCAGACCCUUGGGAUUUUCUGGAACAGCGAUCCUAGUCUGCUCGGUAGGCUUCUUGGUUGGCUUGUGAGCAUAGGGGGAAUUCAGAGACUCACUACUCCCCUGGCUCUUCGGCAGGCAGCGGGAGUCAGCUCCAUCCUUCUGCAAGCGGACUCCCGUCAGAGACCAUCGCCCUCUGCCUGCAUGCUGUGCCCUGCGCCGCCCUGACCACCACUCAUGGAAAGAGAUGAUGAACUUAUUAAAGCCAACAACCGAAUCCUGUAUGUCAAACAGUAAUUCUAGUUGCCACAGAACCCAGUCUAGCAGUUGAGGUCCCAGAAUGGAAGGAAUCUGUCAGUAACAUUUUUGGCUCAUCAGGUCUUACAAAAUGUGUGAGAAGCAGAAAAGAAUGUUUUUCAAAGGUACUAUAAUCUAUAACCGACUUGGAAGGAAUGCAUAUGGGUGGAUCCAUUCCCUACUCUCUCUUUUAGAAGCUAUUUCUCUCUUUAUCCCACAGGCUGACAAAGGCUAGCCUGUGUGAAGUUUCAAUGUGGUUGAAGUUCACAAUGCUUUCUCCUCGUUUCCCACAAGGGUCCCCAUUAAAACAAUCUAGUGUUUCUCAGUACAUUUGUUGGCCUUGUCACAAAGUGAAAAGAACCAAGUCUGUGUGAACUUUCCUUUUCUGACCUCAUUUUCCUCUUUUGUUCGAGGACGGCUGUGUUUUUUCAGCUUCUGUGACUUACAGGAGACUCUGUGCCCAAUUUUCAAAGGAUCUGGGCAGUUGCACAGCCUGGUCUGUAGCUGUAAUCAAUUUAGCCAUGCCUCCAAAAGCAAAAAAUAGCUUAAAAGAAGCCAUCCUAGAGGGAAGAUGUGUGCUCCCUUCCCCUCGACCGGACGGAGUAUCAUCCCUCUCCUUUAUAUGGAGUUCCAAAAGUACUUUGGGCUGAAAGCCCAAAAAGAGGGCUAUAUCAUAGCGUUAAAAAUGGAACAUCAGAUGGAGAGGGUUCUCCCCAGGUUCCAUUCUCCCUCCUCUCGCUAGGCCCAGGCAAAACUCUACUUAAAUCAUCCCUGAAAGCUGGGGUCCAAUAGGCCUGAAGAGGGAGCUUCCCUGUUCCAUGCUAUUUUGGGAAUGUAAUCACAACAAUCAAUCAUCCACCAUUCCAAAUUUCCAGGGUCUAGAUGGGGUGUUUCACAGCGCUUGCCAUGGCCCACAUUUUAGCUGGCUGAUUGCAGGGGGGGCUUUUAAUGAGAAGCUAGAGUGUUUUAUCUAAUGAACCACCUGUCUCACAUGAUGAAGAUAAAUUUCUCUCUGGAGGCAGGACAGUGGACUAGAUGACACUUCCCAGUUUCUUUCAACAUAGAGAUGUUAUGACUCCCUUGUGAGUAUUCCUCUAGAGGAUGCUGCAUUCUUAACCCUUAAUUCCAACUUAAAUGGAUGCUCUCAGCUUCAUUUUUCCAUUGACUGGAUGUAAUUAGGGCAGUCACCAGUAAUGACACCUAACCUGGUCUUUUCCAUUAAGAGGCAACCUAAUAAAGAUGGGGCCAGACAUCAGCAGCCUUCAUAAAGUGGUGGAGGAAUCCUGAAGCCUAGACUGCUGAGCCUCUGCAGACUGUGCGGGGUGCGGGGCGGGAAAAUGAAGAAGGGAGAGAAGACAAUAGAACAGGAGGGGAGGGGAGGAGAGAGGAGAAAAGAGAAGAGAAGAGGAGAAAAGAGAAGAGAAGAGAAGAGAAGGUGGGUGCAGGGAGAGGUAAAGCUGGGCAGAAAAUGAGAUGGGGAACAAGUUGCGUUGCAUCCUAAACAGCAAGGGUCAAGGGGGGAAAGAGAGAAGGAGGAGGCUGAAGAAUAAGAAAAAAUGAUGGGCUGAUGGGAUUGAGAGAGGAAGGAAGAACAAGGAGCCUAAGGCUUGAGCCAGAAGUCAAUGGUCCAUUUUGGCCCUUUAGAGGACAUGAAGGAAGUGCCAAGGGAUCCCACCCUGCUGUGUCCAUCUUCAAGUGGUAUAAGGAUUGCCUGUCCCCUGGGUCCCCUUUGGGAUGCUGGGCCCUUUCACUUAGGUGAGUUAAUAGUCUGACAGGCCACAGUGGCAGCCUGGCAGUGCUGUGUCACAUGGCAGUGAUGCAGGUUAGUUUUAAGAGACAAAUCACCGAGGGCCUGGCUAACUGUGGAAUCUUUGAAAUGGCUGGUGGGUAGAGGGGGUGUGUGAGGAGGGAGGAAGCAGGAUGGGAAAGGGUAAACAGCUGCUGCUAUGACUUCCCUGGGGUCAGACUGGGGGGAAGAGCCAUGACUCAGCCUUUUGCUUUCAGAUAUGCCAAGUCCUGAACCACAGGGGACAUCAACUGGAGUCCCUGGAUGUGCUCUGUCCAACUUCCAGUUCCAUGGGGCGAGGGGAGUGGAUGGGGUCCACUUCUGAUGAGCUGGAACUUCCCAAGGCACGUGGGCGAGAGGGAGCACCGAGUGCAUGGAGAGAGGGUGGCUGGGACGGGGUGAACACGCCUAACUCUAGAGAUUCGGACCCAAAUCUGGACCGAGACUCCUCCACACCAGUCCUCCCACCUCUUGUUUUCAAGAAACAUUUUCCAGCUGGAAAACCUUAGAAGCUGGAAAAACAAGUAUCCCAAGGGGAAAAGUAUGAGGUGUUCUUAACUAAAGAAGCAUAAAAUAAAAUAAAACACAAAUGAAAGUGACAAAUGGAGGAGGGAAGCCUG